rnacentral:rRNA from 1 species
UACGUAGGGGGCAAGCGUUGUCCGGAAUCAUUGGGCGUAAAGAGCGUGUAGGCGGCUCGGUAAGUCCGCUGUGAAAGUCCAGGGCUCAACCCUGGAAUGCCGGUGGAUACUGUCGGGCUAGAGUCCGGAAGAGGCGAGUGGAACUCCUGGUGUAGCGGUGAAAUGCGCAGAUAUCAGGAAGAACACCAAUAGCGAAGGCAGCUCGCUGGGACGGUACUGACGCUGAGACGCGAAAGCGUGGGGAGCGAACAGG